rnacentral:rRNA from 1 species
UUAAAUUGAAGAGUUUGAUCAUGGCUCAGAUUGAACGCUGGCGGCAGGCCUAACACAUGCAAGUCGAGCGGUAGCACAGAGAGCUUGCUCUCGGGUGACGAGCGGCGGACGGGUGAGUAAUGUCUGGGAAACUGCCUGAUGGAGGGGGAUAACUACUGGAAACGGUAGCUAAUACCGCAUAAUGUCGCAAGACCAAAGUGGGGGACCUUCGGGCCUC